AGCGAACGCUGGCGGCAGGCCUAACACAUGCAAGUCGAGCGCCGUAGCAAUACGGAGCGGCAGACGGGAGAGUAACACGUGGGAACGUACCCUUUGGUUCGGAACAACCCAGGGAAACUUGGGCUAAUACCGGAUAAGCCCUCACGGGGAAAGAUUCAUCGCCGAAGGAUCGGCCCGCGUCUGAUUAGCUAGUUGGUGGGGUAAUGGCCCACCAAGGCGACGAUCAGUAGCUGGUCUGAGAGGAUGAUCAGCCUCACUGGGACUGAGACACGGCCCAGACUCCUACGGGAGGCAGCAGUGGGGAAUAUUGGACAAUGGGCGCAAGCCUGAUCCAGCCAUGCCGCGUGGGUGAUGAAGGCCCUAGGGUUGUAAAGCCCUUUCGGCGGGGAAGAUAAUGACGGUACCCGCAGAAGAAGCCCCGGCUAACUUCGUGCCAGCCGCCGCCGUAAAAC
rnacentral:rRNA from 1 species